GCAGCAUCUAUCCACAUGGCUCUUUACAACAGGCUGCACAAUCUAUAAAAAGACACACAGACAACCAGAGGAAGCAUUGGGGAGUGGAAGAAUAAUUCGACUGUGAGCUGUCAAAAGUUUUAAAGAGACUGGGGGAAAUCCAUUGUGAAAAAACCUGACCCCGCAAAACAGCUGACUGCUUUUGGAAUAAUCCUUGAACUCAUACAUAUGAAAAUAUCAUAUCAGAAUGAGAUGUGCAUGCUACUUGUUCCAAUGAGUGAAAGCUACAACAGUAGAUCCAGUUGACUGAGCAAGCUGCAUGACUGACUGAUUCCCAUAGCCAAUUGGUGCAAAAUGUGAUAUCAGAUAUAUCAUUUCUGUUUCAAGGUGAUCAUACACAGAGCCUAGGCAUUGUGUCCCAUUAGCCAGCAUAUCUUUUAGUUAAGUAAUUUCCCUAAUAUCCAGUCUAAUCACACCACAUUGCAAUUUUCCAUUUAAUGUUGGAGCCCUCUUCACAUUUUUCCAACUCCUGACUAUGGCAGCUAAAAUUCCAUAUGCAUGCAGAGCAUUUUUCCCUGCCAUGCUCUUCUAUCUGGCAGGAGAACCUGACAUACAGAGUCUGUUUUCUUUAUUUUAUUGUUGUUAUUUUAUUUAGAAUAGUUACAUACAGUUUUUUCAACAAAAAAUCAUUCUCAAAGCAGUUCAGGUAGCAGAGGGAAUUGGAAGGUGGUUCAGUGAAUCUAGGGCCGCUUUUGCACGUAAUGUGAAACCGAAGGUUGCCGGAUAUGUAUAUAAGGGAGGGCAAAGGAUCCUGGGGUCUGGCCUGCUGUGACUAGAGAUGUUCUUGGGUGGGCUCACUCUGGCAAAGCAGUGAAUGGAGAUCAAAGCACACUCCUGCCCCUGUGUUGGCUUGCUGCCAGGGCACUAGCACACUCAUGAGAGGGCCACUGCAGGACAUUAGGCUUCCAAAAACCUUUGGUCCCAAAAGGAGGCCUUGCUUGCGUAGGCCCCCCAUGCUCUCUAUUCAACAAUAGAAAUUUUGCACAGCUACUCCCACCUCUCCAGGAACAGCAUCUGUCAUCAUCACAUAUGUUGAAUUGCUCCUUUCACUAGAGCAAUGCUGAUCAUGCUACCUGGCCCUUCUCAAGGCUAAGCCCCGCGCAUAUUCCCCAAGGGGAAGGGGCUGGGCUCCCCUUCCCCAACAUAAUUGUACAAAAAUCAUACCAGAGUCAUUCAAGGGUUCCUGGUUGUGGCUGCCUUUUCAAUCUGAUCCCAGAUAUCACCACCCUGCUAUAUGUUGCCGUCCCAGUGUGCUAAUGGGGUGCCCUGAUUAUGUUGCCACCUGAAGUGCAUGUGCUUGUGAGCAUACAUCUUUUUUGCUUCAUUUUCAGAGAGCACUUAGUGCCCUCUUGCCAUCCCACCGCUUUCUCUUCUGGUUGCCAGGAGGGAGGAACAAAGGACAGAGUGGGAAGAGAGCAUGCCGCGAUGUGACUUUGCCUUUUGACAUGCUUUGAAGCUUGGGAUGUCACAGCAUCCCUGUUGCCAGGCAACUGCUUUGUUAGAUCAGGGACGGGAUGGGGGCGAGUGCUUGGAGAGGUGGCCAGUGAGAAGCACUACAGGCCUGAAGCGGGCACAAUCCCAGGUGGGUCUGCGCUGCCCUUUCAAUGAUUACGGCCCCUAAAAUUCAACAAAACUGUGGUUAUGGCGGCAUCAACGUUAAGGCACAACACUGCUGCUGAUAAAAAUUCAGAUCACAGCUGCAAAAUUCAGUACAAACCAAAUUUUCA